CUGCUCUGCUGUGGCCUAUGGCUUUUCAUUCCUAUGUGAUUGCUGCUCUGAACUCAUGUAGGGCGAAAAGCCAUGGGCUACAGUGAGGGGC
rnacentral:pre_miRNA from 1 species